UACGAAGAGGGCUAGCGUUUUUCGGAAUCACUGGGCGUAAAGCGCACGUAGGCGGAUUUGUUAGUCAGGGGUGAAAUCCCGGGGCUCAACCUCGGAACUGCCUUUGAUACUGCAGAUCUCGAGUCCGGAAGAGGUGAGUGGAAUUCCUAGUGUAGAGGUGAAAUUCGUAGAUAUUAGGAAGAACACCAGUGGCGAAGGCGGCUCACUGGUCCGGUACUGACGAUGAGGUGUGAAAGCGUGGGGAGCAAACAGG
rnacentral:rRNA from 1 species